rnacentral:sRNA from 1 species
GCCAGGCAUGGUGGCGCAUGCCUGUUAUCCCAGCAGCUGGGAGGCUGAGGCAGGAGGAUCAUGAGUUCAAAGCCAGCCUCAGCAACAGCAAGGUGCUAAGCAAUUCAGUGAGACCCUGUCUCUA